rnacentral:rRNA from 1 species
UAAGGGCGCACGGUGGAUGCCUUGGCACUAGAAGCCGAUGAAGGACGUUACUAACGACGAUAUGCUUUGGGGAGCUGUAAGUAAGCUUUGAUCCAGAGAUUUCCGAAUGGGGAAACCCAGCAUGAGUUAUGUCAUGUUAUCGAUAUGUGAAUACAUAGCAUAUCAGAAGGCACACCCGGAGAACUGAAACAUCUUAGUACCCGGAGGAAGAGAAAGAAAAUUCGAUUCCCUUAGUAGCGGCGAGCGAAACGGGAAGAGCCCAAACCAACAAGCUUGCUUGUUGGGGUUGUAGGACACUCUAUACGGAGUUACAAAGGACGACAUUAGACGAAUCAUCUGGAAAGAUGAAUCAAAGAAGGUAAUAAUCCUGUAGUCGAAAAUGUUGUCUCUCUUGAGUGGAUCCUGAGUACGACGGAGCACGUGAAAUUCCGUCGGAAUCUGGGAGGACCAUCUCCUAAGGCUAAAUACUCUCUAGUGACCGAUAGUGAACCAGUACCGUGAGG